UGAAAAUGCCCUUUAAACCAUUUUGGUAUCAAGGAGCUGGUAUCAAGCACACUACACAGUAGCUCAUAACACCUUGCACAGCCACACCCCCACGGGAAACAGCAGUAACAAAAAUUAAGUAAUAAACGAAAGUUCGACUAAGUUAUGCUAAUCAGGGCUGGUCAACUUCGUGCCAGCCACCGCGGUCAUACGAACAGCCCAAAUUAAUAGAACUCGGCGUAAAGAGUGGUUAUGACAUUAAUACACUAAAGUUAAAUUUAACCUCAGCUGUAAAAAGCUAAAGGUCUAAAAUUAAAUACCCUACGAAAGUGACUUUAACAAAUCAGAAUCCACGAUAGCUAAGAUACAAACUGGGAUUAGAUACCCCACUAUGCCUAGCCUUAAACCUAAUUAAUUAGUAACAAAAUUACUCGCCAGAGAACUACGAGCAAAAGCUUAAAACUCAAAGGACUUGGCGGUGCUUUAUAUCCACCUAGAGGAGCCUGUUGUAUAAUCGAUAAACCCCGCUAAACCCCACCAUCAUUUGCUAAUCCAGUCUAUAUACCGCCAUCUUCAGCAAACCCUUAAAAGGAGUCAAAGUAAGCUUAAUUAUACUUAAUAAAAACGUUAGGUCAAGGUGUAACUUAUAUGAUGGAAACUAAUGGGCUACAUUCUCUUUCAAAGAGCAUUAACG
rnacentral:rRNA from 1 species